UCUAAAUAACUUCUCGAAUCGCAUGGCCUUGUGCCGGUGAUGCUUCAUUCAACAUCAUCUGCCCUCAUCCAACUUUCGCAUGGUCAGGCAUCAGCAGGCCUCACCCAUGGUUUCAACGGGUCAACGGGGCAAUCAAGGGUUCGAUUCCGGAGAGGGAGCCUGAGAAACGGCUACCACAUCCAAGGAAGGCAGCAGGCGCGCAAAUUACCCAAUCCCGACACGGGGAGGUAGUGACAAUAAAUAACGAUAUAGGGCUCUUUUGGGUCUUAUAAUUGGAAUGAGUACAAUUUAAAUCCCUUAACGAGGAACAAUUGGCAGGGCAAGUCUGGUGCCAGCAGCCGCGGUAAUUCCAGCCCCAAUAGCGUAUAUUACAGUUGUUGCAGUUAAAAAGCUCGUAGUUGAAUUUCAGACCUGGCUGGGCGGUCAGCUUAACGGCGUGUACUGUCUGGCUGGGCCUUAACUCUUGGUGAACUGGAGUGUCCUUUAUUGGAUGCGUCGGGGGAACCAGGACUUUUACCUUGAGAAAAUUAGAGUGUUCAAAGCAGGGCUUAUGCCUGAAAUACAUUA
rnacentral:rRNA from 1 species